CUACAUUAUAUUGCACCACAGUUUUGGACUUACCUUCUGUCCUAGCUCUUUCCUUUUAGGAUCCACCAUCUCAUAAGAACAAAAUGGUGGCACUAUAUAAAGGUCAGUGUUAGUUUGGUGGUUAAGACAUUGCACCAUUGAACAGCCUCGUCUUUCUAUGCGGGAGGCACAUAAAAACUCCCCUUUAGUCACAGCUGUAACUCUCACUCUGUGCUCUAAUACCCUUAAAGUGAACAGAGAACAGUGUGGGCAGCACUCGGGAUUAGCGAGCGUAGCUUGUGUGUCUAACUCCCAGACACGUGAUUCACAGGGGUAGAGAGUCGUUGGAAGAAAUCAUAGACCCACACACACGCAUAGGCGAGAGGGAUCUUUUCCCUUUGCUGCGCUACUGAAAGGGCUUGUAGUUGCUAUGACAGAGAUGCGAACACCAGGAAAUAAAAAGGAGCUGUGACCACCUCUAACUGUCCCAGAGAGCAUAGGUUACCAGGAUGUCCGAUGAGUUUUCACCUCUGUCUGCUCGCACGAACCUCAUAGAACACACACUGAGACUCCUCCAUACCGGUUGCCUGAACACAAAAAAAGUGGCUCAGGAUUAACUCAAGGUUAUGCGAGAUAUGGGAAUAAUUGAAGAGUCCCACAGUGACUGGAACAGCCUGGUGGGUUUGGUGCCCAAGACUGAUGGGUCAGUCUGUUUUUGUGUGGAUUUUAGAAAAAUCAACGCAGUGUCUAAAUUUGAUGCGUAUCCGAUGCCCAUCGGUUAAGUGUGGCUCGGUUUUGACACUGGAUUUAACCAAGGGAGGGGUAUUGGCAGCUUCCCUUGACUCCAAUAUCUUGUGAAAAAAGUCACUUUUCCACUCCAGUUGGGUUGCACCAGUUACCACCAGGUGGGGCGGGGGCAUGGGGGCGUGGUCGUUAGCGUAAGGCCAGACAGCUCCCCGGCCUGAGUUGGGUGGUGGGGUAUGUGGUGGCAGGGCCAUGGUCAAGUGUCAGCUGUGGAUGGAGAGGACGUGGGUCGCACCAGCAGGAGAUGAUUCUCACCUGUGUCUUAUACGGUAGACAUUAGGUUAAUUCCAAGUUAUGGCAUUAAAUGCUGUCCAGCACCGAACACAUGGGAAAUCUUUUGGACUUUGGUUUGAGUAAACAGAAAACAUAGCAGCAGCUGUACAUCAACACUGUCCAGAAGCGCCGCCCACUUCUCUGGGCUCGGUCUCAUCUGAGAUGGAGAGUAACACAGUGAAAUCGUGUUUUGUGGUCCAACGAGUUGACAUUUCAAAUCGUUUUUGGACAAAAUAGCCGUCAUGUUCUCCGGGCCGUCUAAGCUGUUAUCAGCAUCAGGUCCAAAAGCCAGUCCAAGUCAUGGGAUGUCCCUGCAUUUUCCAGCAGGACAACGC
ensembl:lncRNA